AGCUCUGUAAGCGUAUACCAAAGUUGUUGCAGUUAAAACGCUCGUAGUCGGACUUUGGCGGUUUCGGGAGUGCGCCGCGUCGUGCGGACACUUCGCAGGAGCUGCUUUUGUGGGUUUAGCGUCAGAUGAGGGCUGUUAAUUCGGUAACGUCUGUACGCAACCACUGUUUACUGUGAGAAAAUCAGAGUGCUCAAAGCAGGCAUUUGCCGUGAAUGUAUUAGCAUGGAAUAAUAGAAUAGGACUUAGUCUUAUUUUGUUGGUUUGUUAGGACUGAGUAAUGAUUAAGAGGGACAGUUGGGGGCAUUUGUAUUUCGGCGCUAGAGGUGAAAUUCUUAGAUUGCCGAAAGACAAACUGCUGCGAAAGCGUCUGCCAAGGAUGUUUUCAUUGAUCAAGAACGAA
rnacentral:rRNA from 1 species